CCCAAGGCUGAAGAUCUGGGAAAGGAAGACUUUGGAGCGUGAAGGCUCUGGCUUGCUUCCAGCCCCGACUGAAACCCACUGUGAAGAAGAGCUGCCUGUGAGCUAAGGCUGCGUAGCAGGGCUGUGGCUCUCCUGGCCAGGGGGGAAAGCUGGGUGGGACAGGCUUAGCUCUGUAAGGAGCUGAGGGAGUUUCGCUUCCCUUCACGUUAAUGACACAGUUACUCACUUCUCUUAAGCGGAAUGGCAGCAGGAAGGGAGUACGUGUGACUACAGAUGGGAGUCGUUUUUCUCGCCAUAAUUUGCAUUGCUGAAUGAUGUCACGGCAGUGACUUGUCCAUACCUUCUCCUCCUGGUGACUUAGAGCCUCCAGUCCCGGCAGUUUUACACUAAAAACUUUGGUGAAUGUGCUGGAGUAGAUGGGUCAGGGGUUUUUAUUGCUUUUAAUGGUUUAUUUUAUUGUACAAAACUGAGAUCAAUUUAUCCACAUCUGGCAACCCUGUGGGAAAAACUUGGGCAACACUUUCAGGUCCAGGUGCAACCAAAGACCAAACUGUAGAUGUAAGCAACCUGGUCAUGGGGUUUUCCAGCGUUUGAGGAGAUCUAGGAGGAAAGAUCAGUUGUCUUCUCUGGCUUUGGGCACUUGUGCAUCCUGCAGAUGCAUUGCAAGCAUUUCUCUAGAGCAUCUGGACUUUCAGUAGUGUCUGUCUCUGAUCCUGAGCCAUAAGGGAGUGGGUGCGCUUGGCUUCCAAUUGCUACAGAAAUCCAAGGCUCUGCUACUUCAACAUCCGAUGCGUCUUGCUGCGUGCUCUGCUCUGAAGACCUUGUGUUCUGGAUGCUCUUCCACCCUCUGAGGAGGAGGUUCGUUUUGGCGUGGUGGUGGAUCCCUGGCGCAGACCUCAAACCCCCAGCCCGGGCCAGGUGGGUGGGUGAAGGCUACGAGAGGCAGCAGGAGCCUGGCCGCAGGGUGGGCUCGGCCGCGUGUGCGGGCGAGCAGAGGGGGAAAUGAGAUCACUUCUGCGGCUCUCCCUUUUGCGGCCCACUUCCUCCUCAUUUACAUCUUGCACGCUGUCAGAUGUGGGAGAAGGAAGAGUGGUGACCGCAGGGACGGAGCUGCCCAGGCUGGACCUGCCUGCAGGAGGGGGACCAGGGUGCAGCCUCACCCCCCAGCACGGGGUGCGGGAAGCGGCUGUGGCUGAGCUGCUGACCAGCUCCCCUCUGCCUUCCCGCACGGCGCUGCACUCUCAGAAACGUGGUUUUGCUUUCUACUAAGACCUAUUUCUGCCUUUUUUCUGAGCCCCACAGAGGAUAUUGCACCUUUUAGAAACUAAAGGGUCAAAGGGGGGAUCCUCUAUGAAAGUCGUUGCUGUGGGGCUCCUGGAUGGUGUCUAGGUCCUCGAUGAAGUGUCCUCCAAGCCCAAAGGCAUCAUUUUCCCACCUGGUUCCCUGCGGGCUCGUUGCACGUUGUCUGUCUGGUGGGGUUAUUUCCUUCCCCCUCCUCCCUGAGCUCAUGCAGCCCCAGUACCUGCAGGUGUCAGCAAGCGGCGUGUCGCUGCAAAGGCAAGCGAGCGAACCCUGCGCUCUGCUCAGAACAACCCAGAGUUAAUUCUGCGUUCAAAGACGACGACGACUUCUUUCCAUCAGAAAACCUGGCAAGGGCUUGGAGAGUCCUGACGGCUGAAAAUGGGGGAGCAAAGGGGAGCUUGGUCGAGGAUAAACGGGUAAUCGAGAGCCAGCCGGGAGCGUGGGCUGCUGCGAGGGGAGCAGGAGCGGGGUGUGGAGUCGGCCCGGAGGAGGAUGCUCUCGCUGCGGGGUUUUCCCAGGCACACGAGCUGCUGUGAAACCGGAGCCUGGAGCUUUAGUUUAGUGACUGAUGUCAGGGCUUGCACGUGCGUUUCCCUGGCAGAAGACCGAGCGUGGCUAGAAAUACGCUGGAGGGAAACGGUGCUGCUUGCACAGCUCCAGCUGCAGCGCUGGGGCUGCGGAGGUGCCCGUGCUUGUUUGUGUACGUCGAUGCAUCCACGCCAUCCUGGGAUGGACACGGCCUUCGCUGUUCCCUGGGGAUAAACUGAGUGGAUUCCUGUCCAGGAAUUCAGCCAGAGGCAACUACCGCUACCGGCAGCUUCUGAGAUACAUUAGAACUUCAGCUUCCCUCGUUUUAUCCGGAGCGGAGUCGUCGCUGACCACAGUACCUGGGAAUGAACAACUGGAGGGAGAUGCUGGUCUUCACCCUGCGGCCAUUCCUCCCUGAGAUCCAACACGCGAGAUGCUGCUGCGACGGGGUCAGUCGCUCCAGCCUACCUAACGUUUUCUGCAAUACAGGUUGCAGUUUCCCCUGAGCUGGCGAUUGUAACGUUUCUGUAGGUAUUUAUCUAACUAAGCCUUCCCAGAGCAGCUGGUUCUUCUCCCCAUCUCUUUUUCCCUCUGCAGGGGUGCUCUCUGUGUCCUCUCCUUGUCGGGCAAAAUGCUGGAGAGCGAGCAGAGCCGGAGUCUUCCCGGGAACUCUUUGCUCCGUCCUGCCUUGCGGAACAACUUGUUUAAUUCUCUCCAGUUCUCCAUCGCGGUGGGAGUAGAGGAAGCCCAUGGAGAAACAUUUCUGCUUGCUUUGCCCCAACUCUUCGGAGGUCCUGCUGGUGCGUGAACUGGGAGUGACCUUUCUCUUGGUGCUUCCACUCGGGAAGAAAUCACAUUUCCUGCAGGAAAACAAGGGGCAUGCCGAGGCGCAGCAAUGGGGUUGCUGUUUUCUGUUGCAGUUUCUCCUUUCCCUGUGCCGGGAGCAGCAGUCCAGGGGCGACCGGGCGGCUGCCUUCUCGUUGCAACUUUUCUCUUGGUUUGUGCUUGAGAAUUUGAGGAUUGCUAAGGGGAAAAGAUCGUUUGGAGGGAAGAGUUGGUGGGAGGAAUGGAGGAAGCUCACUGGGUGUAAAACCAUAUGGGGAUUCCCGGUCGUCUCCUACAGCUGCAGGAAUCGCAGCUGCCUGUGUGGACACUGCUCCGAGCGGCUGAACGUCCUUCAAUUUAAUCCACGUGUGUCACUGAGCUGGAUUGGAGCUUCAUGAAGAGCUGACCAGACCAGCAGCUCCUGGCAGCUCAAUCCCUAUACCUUUACUGUGCCCAUAUUCAAAAACAAAUUAAAAAACCCCGCAACGC